AGAGACCUCAAACGUUAUCCGGAAUUAUUGGGCGUAAAGGGUCCGCAGGCGGUUUGGUUAGUCAGUGGGUUAAAUCUUGGGAGCUCAACUCCGAGUCUGUCACCGAAACUACCAAACUAGAAGACAUCAGAGGCUAGUGGAAUUCUGUAUGGAGGGGUUAAAUCCGUAGAUAUACAGAGGAACACCAAAAGCGAAGGCAGCUAGCUGGGAUGUUCUUGACGCUCAGGGACGAAAGCGUGGGUAGCGAACGGGAUUAGAUACCCCGGUAGUCCACGCCCUAAACGAUGAAUACUUGGUGUUGCAAUCUUAGAAAAUUUGCAGUGCCGAAGCUAACGCGAUAAGUAUUCCGCCUGGGGAUUACGGCCGCAAGGCUA
rnacentral:rRNA from 1 species